rnacentral:sRNA from 1 species
AAAAAAAAAAUAAAGAUUUGCUAUUUUGGGAGAAAAGAAAAGGGAAAAGAAAUGGAAGAAAUGAAUUCUCAAAUGUUAAUUGUGAUGCAUUUUUUAAAAAUGUAUUUUUUAAAAAGAAGAUAGGAAAGCAGCUCAUCAACCUGGACUAGUCAGUAACUUCCAUAGAGGGAACCUUAUUGGCACUGGAACAGUUUAUGAAACCUUCUGCCUAAAUAGUCUGCCCCCUAGUGUCACUAUGUAACAUUGCCGUCUUAGUGCCUAGCCUCUUUCAUUACUUCUAAGAACAACAGGCCGUUCAGUGAAAAGGAAAUUAGGUCAUUAGGCCAGAGAGUCCCUAAAGGAUUUUUUGGAGGUAAAAAUGGGGAUGCAGAAGCUAUUUUUAGUAUUUCAAAAAGCCAGAAGGCAGUUGUACCUUUACUGGAUGAAAGACUACAUAGGCUUACUAAAAGUCAGGUUUGCUUUCAGGUAGAAUUCAGGCUGCUCAGUCAGGUGACACUGGUUUAUACUGUUGCCUCAGUGUGCCUCUGUUUUUAAUGAAUAGAAAUAGGAAAAUCGAUCAAUUAUGUUUUAGUAAAUAGAAUUAAGUAGAUAAAACAACUUUCAAAACAUGGAGGCUAUCUUGGAAAUAAUGAAAUAAUGUAAAUAAUGGUGAAAGUUGGGAAAUUACUAAUUCAAAGAUCCCUUCACCCCCCCACCUGCCCUGUGGCUUUUUACCAGUUGAGAGAAGUGUGGUCUUUGCUACAGGCAUCCUUCUAUACAGACUAUAGCGUGUAUUAAUGGGAGCAUAGUGUUCACAGUUCAAUAAUGGAGACAUCUAUCCCUUUCUCUGUGUCAGGCAGCACCUAGGGAAUUCUUUUUAUCUCUGGUUGUCAGGUUUUUGUUUUUGUUUUUAAGAGACAAGGUCUCACUCAGUCACCCAGGCUGGAGUGCAGUAGUAUGAUCAUAGCUAACUGUAACCUCAAACUCAUGGGCUCAAGCAAGCAGUCCAUCUCAGCCUCCUAGCUGUGACUACAGGCAUGUACCACAAUGCCCAGCUAAUUUUUUUAAAAAUUAUUUUUUGUAGAGGUAGGAUCUUGCUUUGUUACCCAGGCUGGUUUCAAACUCCUGGCUUCCAGCAAUCCUCCCACCUUGGCCUUCCAAAGUGCUGGGAUUACAAGCAUGAGCCACUGGGCCAACCCAGUUGUGAGGCUUUAAAAGGGAUGUAGACAAGCUGAAGCUUGUGUGGGGAGGGAACAGUCUCAGGGUGUUGAGACAUUCAAAGCCAUAUCAUAUAAGUAAUGUGGGAGGGAUGUGAGACAUGUUUAGCCUGGAAAAAAAUGACUUAUCCAAGCAUGUGUUUGACAUCUUCAUGUAGUGAAAAGUCAUGUGAAAAGAGCUUAGAUUGAUUGAGGGUAUGGCUACGGGAGAAGAUUGAGAGCUGGUAAGUAAGUGUAGGUUAAAGGACAAAAUAUUUCUGCUCAUUAUAAGGAAACAGUUUCCCCUUAUUGAACCCUCUGAGGAAGGUGUCAGUGAGGUGCUGAGGCCUAGACCAAAGAUGUUAUUAAGGGUAUUCAAACAUCAGAUUGAUAGUUGUACCCAAAAAUAUUUAAGACUCCUCAAAACUCCAUGAUUUUUGCAACAUUCCAUGAUAUCUUGUAAUAACUAACUUCUUUUGGUCUUCCCACAUUUAAUAACCUCUCGAUCAGAGCCUUUCUUUUUUUAUGUACUCAAAAAUAAUAGAAAUGCCAUUUUUAAUAUUUACCAAUAACCUAUUUAACUUAGUAAGGAACUGCUUCCCCUGGGGGUUAGAAAUUUGUACACAGCCUUCUGGAUACAAAUAAUCUUUAUUUAAUUAAUUAAUUAAUUUGUUUUUUGAGAUGGAGUCUUGCUCUGUUGCCCAGGCUGGAGUGCAGUGGCUCGAUCUCGACUCACUGCCAUCUCGCCACCUGGGUUCAGGUAAAAAAUUCUCCUGUCUCAGCUUCCCGAGUAGCUGGGACUACAGGUGCAUGCCACCAUGCCCAGCUAAUUUUUGUAUUUUUAGUAGAGAUGGAGUUUCACCAUAUUGGUGAGGAUGGUCUCGAACUCCUGACCUCAGGUGAUCCACCUGCCUCGGCCUCCCAAAGUUCUGGGAUUACAGGCGUGAGCCACUGCGCCCAGCCACAAAUAAUAUUUUGAUGAACAGAAUUUCUUCUUUUUAUUUUUAAAAAUAUAGAGACAAGGUUUUGCUAUGUUGCCCAGGUUGUUCUUGAACGCCUGGUCUCAAGUGAUCCUCCCACCUUGGCCUCCCAAAGUGCUGGGAUUAUAGGCAUAAGCUACUGUACCCAUCUCAGAAUUUGUCUAUGUUUACAAUAUUAUCAAUGGGUAGACAGCUAAUUGCACAGAAUAUAAAUGAGAGGUAGAUUUUUAUUAAUGUGUACAUUUUCCUUAAUUCCUGAUUUACUCAGGCCCAGGCUUCUUUGUUUCUGGUCUUAGAUCUAUGGGCCUGUGUAAAUCUUUGUCACUUAGCUAAAAGGAUUUCUUGAAAAUCCUUGUAGUUGUUUAUUGAGCAUUUACUGUGUACUAGGCACUAUUGUAGGUACUAGGGAUACAGCAGUGAAAAAGAAAAAAAAAAAACCUUGUUAUAGAGCUUAUAUCAGGGGAAAUAGGGAAUAAACAACGCUAAGCAUAGUUGUAAUAUCUCAGAUAGUGAUAGACCAGGAUAAGAGGUUAGAAAGUGAAGGUGAAGUGCUCUUGUUUUCCUGAGUAACACUCUUACUCCAGAUACAUAUACAGGUCACUCAACUCCUUCAAUUUGUAAAUCUCUGGUUAAAUAGAAAGGUAGCAGAUCAGCCCUCCUUGAUCUCUGCCAACUUAAUAUUUGAACAGAGAUUUAAAGGAAAAAAUAUUACAGAAGUGGGAAUCCUCAAAAUACUUUCUAAAACUAGCUUUGGGCUGGGCACCAUAGCUCAUGCCUAUAAUCCCAGCACUUUGGGAGGCCAAAGAAGGAGGAUCGCUUGAGGCCAGGAGUUGGAGACCAGCCUGGGGAACACAGUGAGACUUUAUCUCUUAAAAAAAUUAGCUGGGCAUGGUGAUAUGAGCCUGUAGUCCCAGUUACUUGGGAGGCUGAGGCAGGAGGAUCGCCUGAGGCCAGAAGUUUACCAGCCUGGGGAACAUAGUGAGACUCUAUAUCUAUUUUUAAAAAAAUUAGCCGACCAAGCAUGGUGGUGAGUGCCUUAGUCCCAGCUACUCAGGAGGCUGAGGUCCAUCACCUGAGUCCAGGAAUUCAAGGCUGCAGUGAGCUAGGAUUGUGCCACUGUACUCCAACCUGGGUGACAGAGGGAGACCCUGUCUCAAACAAACAAACAAACAAACAUAAAAGUGAUUUUGAAAAAAUGAUAAAAGUAACAAAUGCACAUAGUAAGUAAAAAGGUCAAAUAAUGUAGGAGAGAAUGCCAUGAAAAGUAAAAUAUUAUAUCCUCUCCUUGCCCUUCCCCUCAGCAGUGGACCUUUAAAAUAAACAUCUUAGAAGCGGAGAUAAAAGCCUUUGCUUUAUGCCCUUUUCGUAGCAAUUCCCCUUAGAAGAGACAUGUCCUAUAUUUCCACUGUCAGUGUUUUCUGCUGCUAGGGUUGGGGCACGCCUCUGAGAGAAUAAGCCCAGAAAUAGUUACAGCUUCCAACCCAGAGACCUGCAUUUGGAUGACUGUGUACAGAUGACUUCCUGCUAUGGUUGCUUAUGCAUGUUUGUGAUUAUUAAUGGGAUAUUAAUGUUUAGUCUGUCAUUAGUCAACAGGCAGAGCUCGCCCUGCAGGAGGCAAUUAGGAUUGCCCAGGAGUCCAACGAUCACGUGUGUCUCCAGCACUGUUUGGUGAGGCCAUCCUCUGGUCUUGGGAGUUUUGUUCACGGGUUGAAUUGGCCUUCACAAGGCCCCGUUGAAUUGGGUUGUUUUGCAGUUGGAGCAGAGAUCUUCAGCAGCAAAAGGAAACAAGUUAGGUGGUCAUGGGAAUUCAGAAAGGGCAACUUAUCUUUACUUACCUUUCUUAAUUCAUGACAUCUGUUUUGCUUUUGGCAUAUAUCUGCUCUACAAAGUUUAAUGCAACUUGCCAUGAAAGAAGAGAAACCUUUAUCACAUUUAGCACUGGCAUUAACAAAAGAUGUAUACUACACUUAGUAACUGGGUGAGAUGUUGUCCUGUAAUAGCAAAAUCACCAGGGCAAGUGGAACACAGAAGCUACUUGACAAGCACCUGAGAAUCUUAUUUCUCCAUUGAAGGCCAUAUAGGAGCUUCAUGCUUUUUUUCUGAAACACCUGCCACUCAGUGGCUGUCAGGUGAAGCAGAACAAUGACUCAUUUAUUUCAGCCUGGUUUUAAUGAUGUUGAUAUGUUUGACAGGUCUUAUUGAGAUUCUUGAUAUUUCUUGAAAGAGUAUUUGAGAGGAUUCAUUUUGUCCCUUUUAAAUUCUUUCUUAUGACCACAUUGAUAUUUCACUAGAACAUCAGCCAUUGCCACUGUUAUGAUAUAUUUUGAUGAUUUCUCUUGCCAGAGCUGGCUUUAUGUGCUGGGGCAGAAGAGAUCCGAUAGCUAUGUUCUGCUGGAGCAUUCUGUGAAGAAGGCAGUACAUUUUGGGUUACCGUACCUCGCCUCCCUGGGAAUACAGUCCCUUGUUCAACAGAGAGCUUUUGCUGGGAAGACGGCAAACAAGCUGAUGGAUGCCCUAAAGGACUCCGACCUCCUGCACUGGAAACACAGCCUGUCAGAGCUCAUCGAUAUCAGCAUCGCACAGAAAACGGCCAUCUGGAGGCUGUAUGGCCGCAGGUAGGUCUCCCAAGGCCCUGGGGGUGUGAAUUCUUUAGAGAGAAGCAGGAGCUAGCAAGCUGGUUCUGUGAAAGGCCAUACAUACAAGAUUUACCUGCCUUGGAUAGAUGUUGUUCCUGCAGGGGAUUAGACAAAAUGUUUUAUAGUCUAAAACAUUUUGUAUUUUGCACAGACUGAAAACUUUUUUCCCAUGCAUGUUCCUUCUUACUCCUCCCAGCCACUUUGUGAGGUAAUGGGUGGGUGAUCUCCAUGCUGGGAGAGUAAACCAGGGUUCACACAUCUGAUCUACCCGCGAUCGCAAACGCAGUUAACAAGUGACAGAGAAAGGACUCAAACCCACGUCAUCUGACUCCAAGCACCGGGCUCCUCUGCUCUGUGACAGGAACCUUUCUUCCUGUUUAUAGGAGGCAUGAUCCAUGGUUGCUCUAGUUGAGUGUCACCUGAACCCCAAAACUAUUGUGUAAAGAAAGUUGCUUUUCUGUUAACUGAGGUGUUUUCUGUGGAUUAUUUUCAUCUUAUUGUGUACUUUCACAUUUAGCCACUUUUAGCCUGGAAGUAAACUUUGUUGCCGCAUUUUAAUCCUGGAGUUCUGUCGCUACCUCACCCCUCACUUAGACAGUCUGUUUCUAGGAAUUCAGUAAUGAAAGGAAGUGCCUUUUUUACCAGUCUUGUUUUUGUAUUUCAGAUAAUUUUUUGGCACGGUGUGCUCUGAAACAGCUGCAGACACUGGCCACUGCUUACAUUGCCAGAGCAGCCUGUGCCAGGAUGGCAUCGGGUCUGAAUUCACCCGUGAAAACUAAUUAACAUACUAUGACUGCAGGGAACAUGGGGUGGGGGCGGGGGGAUCUGGGAGCGUGUACUCCCAGCUGUGCCCUAACCACUACGUGUCUCCUCGCGCUGCACAUCCAGGAUGCUUUUCUGCCUUUCUUAUCCUGAGGGCAAGGUUGCUGGCACUGGGAGGCAUCUGCUCCCAAGAAAGCCAGAGCCUGUGAGGUGUAUGACUUUACGCCUCCACUCAAGAUAGCUGACGGGCAUGGCCAAAGCGCAGCCAGGUCUGCUGCUGAAAGGAAAUCCUGUUCCCUCUCCCCACCCAGCACCAUGGCACUGCAACAGGCCCAGAUGUUGCUGAGCAUGAACAGCCUGGAGGCGGUGAAUGCGGGCGUGCAGCAGAACAACACGGAGUCCUUUGCUGUUGCACUCUGCCACCUCGCAGAGCUACACGCGGAGCAGAACUAAAGACUGAGGUCCUGGGAGCUAAAUCCUGUAUCCAACACCUGUAAAUGUCAGAGGCAGGUCUCCAACCGAAACCUGGUUGACUCCAAAGAAGAGCAGUGGGAAUGGGACAUAAUCUUGAUGACUUACAGCCCAAGUAAUUUGACGAGAUUCU